UAGAGUAUAAGAGUGUGCUCAGAGCUCAGAUUGAACGUAGGCGGCAUGCUUGCACACAUGCAAGUCGGCACAGAACAGGCCGCAAGGUGCUGGCGAGUGGCGAACGGGUGAGUAAUGCAUCGGAAUGUACUCAGUCGUGGGGGAUAACGCAGGGAAAGCUGCGCUAAUACCGCAUACGACCUAUGGAUGAAAGCAGGGGACCGUAAGGCCUCGCGCGAUUGGAGCGGCCGAUGUCGGAUUAGGUAGUUGGUGGGGUAAAGGCUCACCAAGGCGACGAUCCGUAGCUGGUCUGAGAGGAUGACCAGCCACACUGGGACUGAGACACGGUCCAGACUCCUACGGGAGGCAGCAGUGGGGAAUUUUGGACAAUGGGCGCAAGCCUGAUCCAGCAAUACCGCGUGCAGGAAGAAGGCCUUCGGGUUGUAAAGCCCUUUUGUACGGAAAGAAACGGUCCGGUAAUACCCGGCAAGUAAUGACGGUACCCGUAAGAAUAAGCACCGCUACUCGCGCGCCCGGC
rnacentral:rRNA from 1 species